CAAGGCUUUAAUGAAUGUAUUGACUCAAGGAUCAGUCUAUCACAACGAUAACGGCGAAGGAAAAGAAGCCAAACUAACGUUACAAUUUGUGAAAAGAAGAAGUCAUAUCUAAUACAAAGUAUUUGUUAUUUAUGUACUGGGUUAAUUACUGGCUGAACAGCGACGCAGAUCGGUCGUGCGAUGAUGCCGUGCGAAAUCUUGCCGCCGCCGAAAAGUGCGUAACAACACUACCUACAUUUUCGUUUUUAUGGCAUUGUAAAUUUGCAUUAGAUUAAGUUGGCCGAUCAUUGGCGAGCGCAAUAAUGAGCGGUAGCAAACAUCUAUGACCUCAUCUCCUCAUCUCAGCGACUAGCCUUAAUCUCGCUUUACCGACUAAUUCGGCUUCUCCCCGGGAAAUCGAACUCAGGACUUUAAACCGCUAAUUGCAAUAGUGUCAACCCAGACCAGGCCAGGGAUGAUCCUACACACGCUGAGAAGCACAUCGGCAGCGCCAACGUAACACAACGAACUUGUUAAUGACGUGGUCUGUAGCUCAGUUGCAAGGCGUGAACACCGACCUAUGGCCCUUGUUCCUGUGGCGAGUCCACCUCACCCAUUUAUUAUAAUGGUGGCGAAUGUCGGCAUUGCCCGUACUGUAGUAUGCUCAAGAUGACACAACCAUGGAUGGUGGUAUCGAAAGAUGCCGGUUGACACAAGUUGAAAGAAUAAAUAGUCGUUGUAGCAUCCACUUGGGCCUCGCGCCGAUAAGUUCCCAGUACGACUGGGCGGUGCGAUGUUCAGUUUACCAUAGUUCACAGGAACUACUCUCGUCCGGUGAAGCAGACGAACCAGGAACGCAGAUUCCAGC
rnacentral:lncRNA from 1 species